rnacentral:rRNA from 1 species
AUGCAAGUCGAACGGUAACAGGCCUAGCUUGCUAGGUGCUGACGAGUGGCGGACGGGUGAGUAACGCGUAGGAAUCUACCUAGUAGUGGGGGAUAACCUGGGGAAACCCAGGCUAAUACCGCAUGAGCCCCUAAGGGGGAAAGCAGGGGACCGUAAGGCCUUGUGCUAUUAGAUGAGCCUGCGUCAGAUUAGCUUGUUGGUGGGGUAAAGCCUACCAAGGCGAUGAUCUGUAGCUGGUCUGAGAGGACGACCAGCCACACUGGGGACUGAGACACGGCCCAGACUCCUACGGGAGGCAGCAGUGGGGAAUAUUGGACAAUGGGCGCAAGCCUGAUCCAGCAAUGCCGCGUGUGUGAAGAAGGCCUGCGGGUUGUAAAGCACUUUCAGUGGGGAGGAAGGCCUCAAUGCUAAUAGUAUUGAGGAUUGACGUUACCCACAGAAGAAGCACCGGCUAACUCUGUG